GACGAACGCUGGCGGCGUGCCUAACACAUGCAAGUCGAGCGGGAUCCAUCUGGUGGCAACACCGGGGAAGAUCUAGCGGCGAACGGGUGAGUAUCACGUGAGAAACCUGCCCCGAACUUCGGGAUAACACGGGAAACCCGUGCUAAUACCGAAUACCCUCUACCGGUCGCAUGGCCGGAAGCGGAAAGAUUCAUCGGUUCGGGAGGGUCUCGCGGCCUAUCAGCUAGUUGGCGGGGUAACGGCCCACCAAGGCAUCGACGGGUAGCUGGUCUGAGAGGACGAUCAGCCACACUGGGACUGAGACACGGCCCAGACUCCUACGGGAGGCAGCAGUGGGGAAUCUUGCGCAAUGGGCGAAAGCCUGACGCAGCAACGCCGCGUGCGGGAUGAAGGCCUUCGGGUUGUAAACCGCUUUCAGCAGGGAAGAAAAUGACGGUACCUGCAGAAGAAGCCCCGGCCAACUACGUGCCAGCCGCCGCAGUAA
rnacentral:rRNA from 1 species